rnacentral:misc_RNA from 1 species
GAAAUGCGAUAAGUAAUGUGAAUUGCAGAAUUCAGUGAAUCAUCGAAUCUUUGAACGCACCUUGCGCUCCUUGGUAUUCCUUAGAGCAUGCCUGUUUGAGUAUCAUGAAAUCUUCAAAGUAAAUCUUUUGUUAACUCAAUUGGUUUCUACUUUGGUAUUGGAGGUCUUUGCAGCUUCACACCUGCCCCUCUUUGUUCAUUAGCUGGAUCUCAGUGUUAUGCUUGGUUCCACUCGGCGUGAUAAGUUAUCUAUCGCUGAGGACACUGUAAAAGGUGGCCAAGGUAAAUGCAGAUGAACCGCUUCUAAUAGUCCAUUGACUUGGACAAUACUUUUAUGAUCUGAUCUCAAAUCAGGUAGGACUACCCGCUGAACUUAAGC